AUUGAACGCUGGCGGCAUGCCUUACACAUGCAAGUCGAACGGUAGAGGGGCAACCCUCGAGAGUGGCGAACGGGUGAGUAAUGCAUCGGAACGUGCCCAGUCGUGGGGGAUAACGUAGCGAAAGCUACGCUAAUACCGCAUACGACCCGAGGGUGAAAGCGGGGGACUCGCAAGGGCCUCGCGCGAUUGGAGCGGCCGAUGUCAGAUUAGGUAGUUGGUGGGGUAAAGGCCUACGAAGCCGACGAUCUGUAGCUGGUCUGAGAGGACGACCAGCCACACUGGGCCUGAGACACGGCCCAGACUCCUACGGGAGGCAGCAGUGGGGAAUUUUGGACAAUGGGCGCAAGCCUGAUCCAGCCAUGCCGCGUGCGGGAAGAAGGCCUUCGGGUCGUAAACCGCUUUUGUCAGGGAAGAAAUCUUCUGGGUUAAUACCUCGGGAGGAUGACGGUACCUGGAGAAUAAGCACCGGCUAACUACGUGCCAGCAGCCGCCGCGGUAA
rnacentral:rRNA from 1 species